rfam:Heterocephalus glaber contig112382, whole genome shotgun sequence.
CACCGUUUCAGUGGCAUUUAAAUCCCUGGCGCUCCUCCGCCUAGGUGACGCGCAGUCGCCCCCCCAGGCAGCUGCGGCGGCGGCGGCAGCUGCGGCG